UACAGAGGUCUCAAGCGUUGUUCGGAUUCAUUGGGCGUAAAGGGUGCGUAGGCGGCGCGGUAAGUCGGGUGUGAAAUCUCGGAGCUUAACUUCGAAACUGCAUUCGAUACUGCCGUGCUUGAGGACUGGAGAGGAGACGUGGAAUUUACGGUGUAGCGGUGAAAUGCGUAGAUAUCGUAAGGAAGACCGAGUGGCGAAGGCGGGUC
rnacentral:rRNA from 1 species